AAAGCGGUUUUUUUAAAAACUAUAAAUUAUACACUAUAAAAAACUU
rfam:Solenopsis invicta Si_gnG.contig81964, whole genome shotgun sequence.